AUUGAACGCUGGCGGCAUGCCUUACACAUGCAAGUCGAACGGCAGCACGGGGGCAACCCUGGUGGCGAGUGGCGAACGGGUGAGUAAUGCAUCGGAACGUGCCCAGUAGUGGGGGAUAACCCGGCGAAAGCCGGGCUAAUACCGACUACGACCUACGGGUGAAAGCGGGGGACCGGAAGGCCCCGCGCAAUUGGAGCGGCCGAUGUCUGAUUAGCUAGUUGGCGGGGUAAAGGCCCACCAAGGCGACGAUCAGUAGCUGGUCUGAGAGGACGACCAGCCACACUGGGACUGAGACACGGCCCAGACUCCUACGGGAGGCAGCAGUGGGGAAUUUUGGACAAUGGGCGCAAGCCUGAUCCAGCCAUGCCGCGUGCGGGAAGAAGGCCUUCGGGUUGUAAACCGCUUUUGGCAGGAACGAAACGGCGCAAGCUAAUACCUUGCGCUAAUGACGGUACCUGCAGAAUAAGCACCGGCUAACUACGUGCCAGCAGCCGCCGUAAGAC
rnacentral:rRNA from 1 species